rnacentral:tRNA from 1 species
AAAGCUUUAGCUUAAUUAAAGUGUCUGUUUUGCAUGCAGAAGAUGUGGGUUAGUAUCUCGCAAGUUUUA